rnacentral:lncRNA from 1 species
GUUUUUUUAACGCACUUAACAAAUUCAGAACUAAAUAAUGAGAUUUGAUGCGUAUUUAAUUCUUAAUCAUGUUGCUGUAAUGAAAUCAUAUUCUUCAAGAAACAGAACAGUUUAUUCUUUAUUUGAUGCAUCAUAAGAAAAAGAAAGAACAUAACAGAAAGAACAGAACAGUUUUUAACUAAGACAGAUACUUAUACACGAAGUCACGAACACGUCCUUGUUUGGUUCUGACUUCUGAGUAACUAUGGAUCAACCGGAGGAUAUCCGCCGUAAGGUGGAGGUGUUAAGUGAUAUGAUGGCGGUGGAUACUUCUUAUAUGGUGGCGACGGAUACACAACCGGUGGAG